rnacentral:other from 1 species
GCACCACUGUAAAUACCCGUUGUUGAUUGGGAUAAUCUUGAGCCGUAAAUACAUCCCCUGGGGGCACAAUUUCGAUAUUGUGUGCAUGUCCGCCUGACGGAAAGCCUAAUGUAUCGAUGCCGCUCCCACUUGAACUUCUGGUUCGAGACGAAAAUCACGACGAUACAUGCGGUGGUGCC